rnacentral:rRNA from 1 species
UAGGGAAUUUUGGACAAUGGGCGAAAGCCUGAUCCAGCAACGCCGCGUGCGCGAUGAAGGCCUUCGGGUUGUAAAGCGCUUUUAGAGGAGAUGAGAAAGGACAGUAUCCUCUGAAUAAGCCUCGGCGAACUACGUGCCAGCAGCCGCGGUAAAACGUAGGAGGCUAGCGUUAUCCGGAUUUAUUGGGCGUAAAGCGUGUGCAGGCGGUUUAGCAAGUUGGAUGUGAAAGCUCCUGGCUUAACUGGGAGAGGUCGUUCAAAACUGCUAGACUAGAGAAUGGGAGAGGGAGGUGGAAUUCCGGGUGUAGUGGUGAAAUGCGUAGAUAUCCGGAGGAACACCAGUGGCGAAAGCGGCCUCCUAGACCAUUUCUGACGCUAAGACACGAAAGCUAGGGUAGCAAACG